rnacentral:rRNA from 1 species
AUUGAACGCUGGCGGCAGGCCUAACACAUGCAAGUCGAACGGCAGCGGGGGAUCGCUUGCUAUCCUGCCGGCGAGUGGCGGACGGGUGAGUAAUGCAUGGGGAGCUGCCCAGUCGAGGGGGAUAACAACUGGAAACGGUUGCUAAUACCGCAUACGCCCUAAGGGGGAAAGGUGGGGAACUUCGGUCCUACCGCGAUUGGAUGCGCCAAUGUGGGAUUAGCUAGUUGGUGAGGUAACGGCUCACCAAGGACACGAUCUCUAGCUGGUCUGAGGGGAUGACCAGCCACACUGGAACUGAGACCCGGUCCAGACUCCUACGGGAGGCAGCAGUGGGGAAUAUUGCACAAUGGGGGAAACCCUGAUGCAGCCAUGCCGCGUGUGUGAAGAAGGCCUUCGUGUUGUAAAGCACUUUCAGUCAGGAGGAAGGGGUGGUGGCUAAUAUCCAUCAUCAUUGACGUUACUGACAGAAGAAGCACCGGCUAACUCCGUGCCAGCCGCCGCGGUAACAC